GUGAAUCAUCGAAUUUUUGAACGCAAAUUGCACUCUCCUCGGAGAGUAUGCCUGUUUGAGGGUCAGCCUAUAAAAAUCGACAUCGUUGCUGUUUCGCGGUGGCGUUCGUCGGAAAUUGGGUCAUUUUAAAUCUUUUUGUUUUAAGCGACUAAAAAUUUUCUUUUGGUUCAAUGAAGGUUUUUAGGAUUUAUUUCUUUAAACGUUAAGGGUA
rnacentral:misc_RNA from 1 species